rnacentral:snRNA from 1 species
GCGUGUGAGAAUUGAUGGUGACAUCUGUCACCCCACUGAUCGGCAAGGUUGGUUGACUGGGCAGAUCUAGUGGUUAGGCAGGCAUCCUCUUACUUCCUCACAGCUCCACAUCCCUCCGGAAGCUGAACUGAGUCAAAGAGGAAGACUCCCCCACUCACCCCCAAUACGGGAUGACUGGUCUAGCUAGAACUUCCAAACACGCUCUCAAGAAAGACUUUGGUGUCUACAAUCUGGGGUGAUGUCCGUCUGCAAUAUUCUUUUCUUUUUAAAUUACUACCUUAAUU